UCAGCCAAUCAGGUGAGCGCAACGAAGUUGCGCUUCCUGAUUGGCUUAGAGACCUGUCAGUGACAGCUGUCACUGACAGAUCUUAAUCGUGGAAAGGUGUCCCAUGUGUCAACAUGGGACCCCUUUCAGUCCGUUUUUGGUGCGGGUAAAUGCGCUUUCUUUUUUUGCCAAGUACGUGGAUUUAUCUCUGGACCCUGAGGUCCUGCGUUGUAUCUUCCCAAGUGGCGUGGAUGUGAGGAGACACGACAUUUCACCCGAUGUUCCAUGGGCGACCUACUGGUGAUGUGGACCUGACCCUCCGCCAUGUAGCAGACAACCACCUCAGGUACUGCGGUGUAUCUUCCCAAGUGGCGUGGAUGUGAGGAGACACGACAUUUCACCCGAUGUUCCAUGGGCGACCUACUGGUGAUGUGGACCUGACCCUCCGCCAUGUAGCAGACAACCACCUCAGGUACUGCGGUGUAUCUUCCCAAGUGGCGUGGAUGUGAGGAGACACGACAUUUCACCCGAUGUUCCAUGGGCGACCUACUGGUGAUGUGGACCUGACCCUCCGCCAUGUAGCAGACAACCACCUCAGAUCUUCCGGUGUAUCCUUCCUAAGUGGUGUGGACGUGAAGAGACAGAUCCCCUGAUGUUCCCUGGGCAAUCUUACAUACAAUUCAA